rnacentral:lncRNA from 1 species
GGUUGCUUCCUCCUCUGCCUGUAUUUCUUGGACAGUUGCUCUAAAGCUCGAUUGGAUUCAGGCUCAGUUCCUUCAGUAUAUUUGUGUUCGUGGGUGCCUACACUAGUGUGGGGCUACUCACUUCUGUGUCACAUGGAGAGGCCCAGCUUGCCUGGGGGUCCCACUUUCUGGAGCAUUGAGAGUGAGCCCUCCACUGAUUGUUGGACCAACAGCACCUGUAGCCCCCCAAGGUGAGGUUGGUGAGAUGGGGCAUGUUGGCCCCUGUCAGCAGUGGCUCUAGGUAUUGUUCAUGGUGUUCUUUGGGGCCCCCUCACUUUCCUGUUGGAGGGACUGCGUGAAGACCCCAUACCACUGUGUCUGGCUCCCACUCUACCUGCUCCAGCUGCAAGGUAGGCACUCACUGGCACCUUUUGUUGCAGACACCAAGAAGACGAGAAAGAAGCCAAGACAGAAGAAACCAGAACCCAACCUCUUGUGGGACCGGUUGACCUCCCCAUGCCUGCCACCAACCCUGCUGCCACCUCUGCCGCUACCACCACCAUGGUCUCCGUGGUGACCUCAUCACCCCCUGGCACCUGGGGCUGCCUUGCUUGCCUAAAGCCAACAUUGAAUAAUAUUCCAUUGCCUGGAUAUGCCACAUUUUAUCAUUCGCCCAAUGAAGGAUAUCCUGGUUGCCUCCAAGUUUUGCAAUUAUGAAUAAAGCAGUAUAAACAUC